rnacentral:rRNA from 1 species
AUUGAACGCUGGCGGCAUGCCUUACACAUACAAGUCGAACGGUAACGGGCCUUCGGGUGCCGACGAGUGGCGAACGGGUGAGUAAUGCAUCGGAACGUACCUUUCAGUGGGGGAUAACGUAGCGAAAGUUACGCUAAUACCGCAUAUUCUGUGAGCAGGAAAGCAGGGGAUCGCAAGACCUCGCGCUGAUUGAGCGGCCGAUGUCAGAUUAGCUAGUUGGUGAGGUAAAGGCUCACCAAGGCGACGAUCUGUAGCGGGUCUGAGAGGAUGAUCCGCCACACUGGAACUGAGACACGGUCCAGACUCCUACGGGAGGCAGCAGUGGGGAAUUUUGGACAAUGGGGCAACCCUGAUCCAGCCAUGCCGCGUGAGUGAAGAAGGCCUUC